CUUGAACCUCAGAGGUGGAGGUUGCAGUGAGUGGAGAUCACGCCACUGCACUCCAGCCCAGGCGAGAGAGCAAGACUUCGUCUCAAAAAAAAAAAAAAAAAAAAAAAAGAGAGAGAAAGAAAGAAAGCUAGGAAAAGACCAGUGAUUGAAGAAAUGAAGGUAAACAUAGAAAUGGAUAAAAUAAUGGGAAAUUAAAUUUCCUCUUGGCAGAAAGAGUGGUAGGCAGAAAAAUGGCCCCCAAAAGACACCCAGGUCCUAAAUCCCAAAACCUGUGAGUAUGUUCCCUUACUUAGCAAAAAGCACUUUGCAAAUGUGAUUAAGGUUAAGAAUUUUGAGACAGGAGACUAUUCUGGGGUUUUCAGGUGAGUCUAACAUAAUCAGAAAUUAACCUUUCCAGGGUCAGGAGAAGAGAGGUGUGACUACGGAAGAAUGGUCAGAGACACACGAUGCGGCUGGCUUUGAGGAAAGAGGAUGGGGCAGCCUGUAGAAGAUGGAAAAGACAAGGAAACAGAGUCCCCUUUGGAAUCUCUGGAAAGAAACGUAACCCCAUUGGCAUCUUGGUUUGGGCCCAGCAAGACCCAUGUCAGACUUCUGGCCUGCAACACUACAAGAUAAUAAGUCAUAAGACCCUCAUCCCAGAGGAGUCCUCCUCUACCCGGAAGAAAGGAAGGAAGACACAGAGAUGCCAAGAAGAAUCUGAACAAACAGGUCUGGCUAAGCUCCCUUAACCUUCAUUAAACCUUUCUUCUCAACCGACAUCUGGAAGCCAUUCAGUGCUGCAUACACUUCCUGCAGGCUGCCCCUCUGUUCUCUCGCCCUUCUCAUCUCACGUGAUUGAUCACCUGACAAGCUACCUGGAUUUCCUAGUGCCCCAGAGUUGCCCUCAAUCAACACACAACACGUUCCCAUGUGGAAUCUUCACCAAGUGUUCAUUUCUUCCAUUACAGGAAAUAGUAUUCUCUCCCUGUCCCCAAAACUUUGCAGUAAAGACCCCUGACAAUCUAGUUCAAAUGUCAGUCAUGACACUGCUAGCUUUCUUUUUACAAGACUGUGUGAGUCCCCCUGCAAAAAAGUCAAACUGAAUUUUAUCACAUGAUAUCUACUAUAGUCCUUCAAGCAAUUGUCACUGCAUCUUUUCAGUUAUGGUUACCAAAGGUUGUGUUUAAAAUUAGCUCGCAGAAUUUACUGCUGGGUGUGGGGAUGGCCUACAAAUGACCCAAAUGACCAAGAUUCAGUGUUGUUCAAAUUGUGUAUGUUCUGGAAAGGAGUCACUUUGUCUACUUGAACUUUAGAAGUUAUUUACUAAUGUUGCAGUGUGAUACAAUUGAUCGUAAUCUAGGCUGGGCACCGUGGCUCACGCCUGUAAUCCCAGCACUUUGCGAGGCCGACAUGGGAGGAUUGCCUGAGCUCAAGAGUUUGAGAUCACCCUGGGAAACGUGGGGAAACACCGUCUCUACUAAAAUACAAGAAAAAAAAAAAUAGCUGGGUGUGGUGGUGCUUGCCUGUAGACCCGGCUCCUCUGGAGGCUGAGGCAUGAGAAUCACUUGAGCCCGGGAGCCGAGAUCGUGCCACUGCACUUCAGCUUAGGCUACAGGGUCUCAGACUCCAACUCAAAAAACAAACAAACAAACAAAAAAAACAGCACUCUGGGAGGCUGAGAUGGGUGGAUCACCUGAGGUCAGGAGUUCGAGACCAGCCUGACCAAUAUGGAGAAACCCGGCUCUAUCAAAA
rnacentral:lncRNA from 10 species